ACGCUCGACACCUACGGAGGCAGCAGUGGGGAAUAUUGCACAAUGGGGGAAACCCUGAUGCAGCGACGCCGCGUGAAGGAAGAAGUAUCUCGGUAUGUAAACUUCUAUCAGCAGGGAAGAAAGUGACGGUACCUGACUAAGAAGCCCCGGCUAACUACGUGCAGCAGCCGCGGUAAUCUGAGCGGGCUGGCAAGGC
rnacentral:rRNA from 1 species